AAUGAACGUUGGCGGCGUGGAUUAGGCAUGCAAGUCGUGCGGAAAGGCUCCUUCGGGAGUACUCGAGCGGCGAAAGGGAGAGUAACGCGUGGACUAUCUACCCCUCGGUCCGGGAUAGCGGCGGGAAACUGCCGGUAAUACCGGAUGAUAUCUCUGGAUCAAAGGUGUGAUUCCGCCGGGGGAUGAGUCCGCGUCCUAUUAGCUUGUUGGUGGGGUAAUGGCCCACCAAGGCUGUGAUGGGUACCGGGUGUGAGAGCAUGGCCCGGCUCACUGGGACUGAGACACUGCCCAGACACCUACGGGUGGCUGCAGUCGAGAAUCUUCGGCAAUGGGCGCAAGCCUGACCGAGCGACGCCGCGUGCGGGAUGAAGGCCUUCGGGUUGUAAACCGCUGUCAGAGGGGAGGAAAUGCAUGAGGGUUCUCUCUCAUAUUUGACCUAUCCUCAGAGGAAGUACGGGCUAAGUUCG
rnacentral:rRNA from 1 species